CCCCUCCUCAGCCUGCAGCCAGGCCCCGCCCCCUCCCGCGAGGCCGCUCGCUGCUCCUGCUCUUUUCUGGGCCCUUCCCAUCCCCUGCCCAGAGCGCGAGACUUUGCCCUUCGGACAGCCGUUCAGAGGGGUCACCGCAGAGCUCUGCUUCAUGUCUCCCCUCAGCAGGUGAGAAGCCUCCAUCCUUGGCCUCGGCCCUCCUCCAGGACUCAGUCUCCUGCCAAGCCUGCCCUAGGCGUCCCUCAGGCUGAACAGCAGGAGAGUGAGGUGCAGCAGGACCUUGCACUUGCCAGGUUGGUGUUAGAGAAGAUGAUGAUGAGGAGCCUGAUGAGGAUGAUGAUGACAUUGUAUUUACAAAAGAUGCGGAAGAGAUGAGUGAGGAAGAUGAGCAGGAAAUUGAUGCAGUUGAGCGCCUGAGAAGUGAAGUGGGAGAAAUAUUUGAAACAGAUCUGAAUAAUUUACAAAUGAUACACGUUAUGACUUUUCCUUCAUUUUUCAUAAUUCAAAAUGCAACAUUUGAGCAUGAAACCAAGGCAAACUGGCUAAUGCCUUAUUUCAAGAUUACAUUUCAAAAGAAGCGCAUAUUUUAGGGCUCUGUUUCCUUUGUCAGUACCACUUAAUAAUGAAAACCAUUCCAUAAAUCAAGAGCAACUGUGAGCCCUCACAGGGUCAGAGGAGGGUUAGCUGCCAGCACUUAGCCACUUGGUGGCUGAAAAAGACCAGUUACACUGAAGUGGUCACCAGAAGUGUCUAUGUGCUGUGCAUGAAUGACUUUUUUCCCACCAGAUAUAUUAGGUUCUAUGAUUUUUCUCAUUAGUAAGAAUUUGAGAAGUUUUUGAUACCAAUAAUUUCUGUACAUGGAGCUCAGAAAAUCCACAUGGUACAAUAUACAUUGAAUAUGAAACUGGUGGGUGCGUGAGUUUGUUUGAGACAUGUGAUGCAGUAUCAGCACACCUUGCCCAGAAAAUGCUUGCCUUUACCUACAAGUAUACAAGCUCAUUUGGCUACUGGGACUCUGUAAAGUUGCCAAAAACCUUGAAAGUGAAUAUGGCUUAGAACACCUGUCAGUAGGAGAAACUUUGAGAAGUGUAUUGAGCUACCAUCCAGAAACAGAGCUGGCACUUAUGUUCAACUGGCGUCUUCAUGAGGGAAUGACAGUGCCAGAUGAGCUAACUGUUCAAGCCUUGGACCUUUCCCUGAUGGACAGUGCGUGCCAUACUGCAGGGUAAGCAAGUAGGGUGAGGGAGAUGCAUAUUUCCAGAAAUGGCUCAGUGGCAAUCUCAGAUACUGAUCCUAAACAGGGGUUUAGGCUCUUGUAAAAGGCACAAGCUACUUCUCAAACAUUGAGCAAGUUUGGCCUGAGAUGCAGAAUGAUGCUCUGAUGCUCUGUAGUGAGGUCUCUAGGCUCCAGUGGAAGUCUUAUGGCAGAGGGGACCGUGAGUGAACAUAGCUAGAGAAUGCUGGGCCAUAUGUGUGUGGAUAUAUAUUUAAAUUUUCUGUUGAGGUGAAAUGUGGCUUGAAUACUCUCACGCCACAUUAGCAAGCAGGCCAUGCCACUCCCUGCAACAAUGUGAGUUGUACAAGGUCCUCCAGACCAUGUGUGGCAAACCUGUGGUGCACAUUCCUGUGGGCUCCCUGAACCCUCUCCUUUGCCACAUGAGCCAAGUCGCCCUGGCAGCUGAGGAUCACAUAAGUGUUGAUUUUCUGUAAACUAACACCUCAGUACUCAGGUUUAAUUGCAGUGUUGGCACUUUGCAAUAAAUAAGUGAGUUUUGAAAAUAAAUAAAUGUUGUCCUGGUGUGGAAGGCAGCUUGUAGGGAGGACAACUUUCCUGGGCCUCAGGAGUCUACUACUAACUUCCCUAUUACAGAAUAUAUUUGUCUGGGCUGGGGAUUUAGCCUGAUGGUUCCACUGCCUGCC